rnacentral:lncRNA from 1 species
GGCAGUUAGAAAAUAUUUUCAUCACAUAGAACAACAGAUGGGCUGUAGAAAUUGAUCUGAAAGGAGCCAGGAUUUAGUGGUAUUUCAGGGGCUGCCAGGCCCCUGAAAUUUUCCAAAUUUCUUCUGACACCAUAGAACCUCAGUCUACCCCAGGUGCCAAAAAUCCCGUUGCUAUGAUAGGCUGAAGGGUUUCUUAAGUAGGAGCUUGGCCAGUACAAACUUUUUAAAGAUCGCUGUGUUGAAUAACUUCCCUUACAAUCAAUCAACCAUCAACAAGAACGAACAUCCCCCAUGUCAUUGGUUCCAGGAAAUCCAGGAAUUUUUUUUUAAAGGUGAGGAAAGUCAGGCUCAGGAAAUUUCAAUAAUUUACCUAAGGCCAUUUCACUUUCUAAGUAAGUGGUAAAGGCUGGAUUUGAACUCAGGUCUUCAGAUUCCAGAACUUGUGAUGUGCAAUCCACAAUACUCUUCAAGGACUUAAAGUAAGUAUUGAUCCUUGGAAAGAAAUAGUACUUUGUUCUUUCU